GGAGCAGCAACUUCACCAUCUCUGCUGUGGAUUCUGCUCUACCCAAUGCACCUGCCCUAAAGCACAGGAAGUCAGUGGAAAGCCAAGAGCAUGAGACCACUCAGACAGCAGAGGAAGUGUGUACAACCAGAGCCAUGCUGGGUGACAAGGACAUGACUACAUGGGAGACUGGAGCCCACUGCAGGGUGGGAAGAAAAACCGGAUGAAAGAGCAGGAAAUUCAGAGUCCUGAGGCUUCCUAUUUUGCUGACCUGAAACCCCCUAAGAAACCGUCUGUCCUGACUACUCCAAGACACUCAACAAACAUCGCUUUUGGUUCUUCCCAAGAAUCCUGCCAGUUUGCCAACUGUAUGGAUGUCCAUAGGACCCUGCUGGAAAAGAUGUCCCUAAGCAUCUUGACUGUGAAACUAUAUGUCAGAUGGGUCCCCACUUCUUCACAGUGCAGGGAGGAGGGCAGUUUGCAAUAGGUAGUUUCACUUGGCUCUGUCUGUCUACCACCUAAGAUGUGAGCUGUGACUCUGGAGUCCUUGAAAGAUGUAUCUGGGCUUCUUGGAACACAGCAGGCUCCCUGGAUUCUUGAACCUAAUGAGGAUUGAGAUGCUUUGUUUUGAUCUCUGCCCUAAGCCAGGGAUGAUCAAAAUACUCUGGAUUUGUACUUAUGUAGGUAGCUCCAUUUUUAGGCAAAAUUGCACAGGGCGACUUAACUGGUGUUGGCACGUCCUGGGGUAGCAUCCCUGGCUGCCCGCGCCCAACCUUGUAAGUCUGUGCCUUGGUUCAUCAGCCCAAAGUGGGACAGGAAAGACUCACUGAGCUCCGUCUUUAAUAACAUUUUAAAAAAUGUUUAAGAA
rnacentral:lncRNA from 1 species